ensembl:lncRNA
AUGGCUUGAGACUGCUGAUUUCUGGUGAAAAGGACCACAAUUUUUUUUUUUAAAGCAAAAGAUCAGAGGAUUUUCGGAUAUUGGCUCCAAUCUUGCUUCUCCAGCAAUGGCCCUCCUAUACCAGGACAGCUCUAGUUCACAGGGUUGUCAUAUGUGGGGAGGGAAUUCACAGGUUCUCCUCACCACUCCCUCCCCGAGAACUAAAUUUAAAAAAAUCAGUCCUCCUUAGUAUUUGAGGGGACCAUUCCAUUAGGCUUUUCCUUGUUUCCUUAUUGGGCUCAUCAGUCAUUCAAUUUUACCGAAUAGUUGAGAACAAGCAUUUCUCCCAUCUUAUUUCUUCAUCCCUCUCCUUUUCUGAGGAGCUGGGCUGUACUCUUGCCACAGCGCGAGUCCAAAACAAAACCUCCCUCCUCCCUCUAGAAAUCAAGCAAAAAGCCCCGGCAUCUGAAAUAUUCCUAUCCUUGGAGUGGACCCGCUUCUCUCCACACUUGUAGUACUUGGCAAACAGAAGCAGUGGCUGCCUCGGCAGCACAGGCAUCCCGUACGUCCUGUCCAGCCCAGUUUACACCGUGGCGCGGAGGGAAAAUCCACCGAGGUUGCGAUCCAAAAGAGCCACCCAAGUCCAGCAUCAAGACAGAAGUAAGGAUGAUUGCCGAUGGCCUGGGAUGCAGUGAAUGACCUUUGAGUCUCUGAAAGACUGACCAAGCUCUCAGUGCUCUGUAGUGCCUGCUUCAGCCACCUUCAUGCCUAUUGGAAUGAGCUGUUCUCAUCGGAUCAUCCCUCCAGGGGGAAGUCUUCACAUGCUUGGGGUAGACUUUUCCCUAACUCACCCAGGGGUUUGAGGCUGGUUGUUUACCCUCAACCUGGUUUAGCCCAUCUGCAGGGAUGCUUUUACCAGGGUGUGGCCAUCGUCCAUGCUGCAGUUUCUUGGAGCCACAGGUGAGAAUUAGGUGAAAGAUGGACACGGAAGGUGGUUGGGCACUUAAGCAUUCAUUAAGUGUCAGGAUGUGAAUUCAGGACUGCCAGACCCCAAGUCCAGCACACUUUCCACUACUUGGAGUUGUCUAAUUCCUUUCCUCUGGGCCACUGCAGAGAGUAGGGGUUCUAGGAAUGUCUGUUGUUGAUGUUGUUUGCUGUUGCUGACUAAGCUGAAGGGAAAGGAUUAGGAGCCAGAAAAUGCCCAUUUUUGUACUUUGUGCCACGUUGCAGUAGCAAAGGAGAAUCAGACGAUGGGGAAUAUGGUUUUUUCUUCAGUGCAACCUUGGAAUAGUCUGAGUUAUGCCCCAGUUGGAGGAAAUACCCUAGAAAGGAAACUGUUAAAAAAUGAAUGUAAAUCACAAUAGCUCCAGGGACAGUUUAAUAACGAUCUAACUUUUAUUGGGAGAGCAAGAGACAUGGCAGCUUUUUCCUUACAGAAUUUUUCAAAUUUUUCCCAGAAGGGAGAUGCUAUCAGAAUCACUAAGAUAACUCCUUAGAGCAAAGAGCUAAAUCCAACCAAGUAAACUCAUUUUCCCUUAUGCUCCAGGGUUUUAUUUUACCAAAAUUCAUGGGAAGAAGAGUAAAAAAUAAAAACAAAGAAAACCUUUUCA